rnacentral:rRNA from 1 species
AUUGAACGCUGGCGGCAGGCUUAACACAUGCAAGUCGAGCGGAGAUGAGGUGCUUGCACCUUAUCUUAGCGGCGGACGGGUGAGUAAUGCUUAGGAAUCUGCCUAUUAGUGGGGGACAACAUUCCGAAAGGGAUGCUAAUACCGCAUACGUCCUACGGGAGAAAGCAGGGGAUCUUCGGACCUUGCGCUAAUAGAUGAGCCUAAGUCGGAUUAGCUAGUUGGUGGGGUAAAGGCCUACCAAGGCGACGAUCUGUAGCGGGUCUGAGAGGAUGAUCCGCCACACUGGGGCUGAGACACGGCCCAGACUCCUACGGGAGGCAGCAGUGGGGAAUAUUGGACAAUGGGGGGAACCCUGAUCCAGCCAUGCCGCGUGUGUGAAGAAGGCCUUAUGGUUGUAAAGCACUUUAAGCGAGGAGGAGGCUACUGAGACUAAUACUCUUGGAUAGUGGACGUUACUCGCAGAAUAAGCACCGGCUAACUCUGUGCCAGCCGCCGCGGUAAUAC